rnacentral:rRNA from 1 species
UGAGGAAUCUGUCCAUAGGCGGGGGAUAGCCGGCCCAACGGCCGGGUAAUACCGCGUACGUCGGCGGGAGCGCAUGCUCCUGCCGGGAAAGCAGCAAUGCACCGAUGGAGGACCUCGCGGCCUAUCAGCUUGUUGGCGGGGUAAUGGCCCACCAAGGCGACGACGGGUAGCUGGUCUGAGAGGACGAUCAGCCACACUGGAACUGAGACACGGUCCAGACUCCGUAGGAGG